rnacentral:rRNA from 1 species
UACGUAGGUGGCAAGCGUUGUCCGGAUUUACUGGGCGUAAAGGGAGCGUAGGCGGAUUUUUAAGUGGGAUGUGAAGUACUCGGGCUCAACCUGAGUGCUGCAUUCCAAACUGGAGAUCUAGAGUGCAGGAGGGGAGAGUGGAAUUCCUAGUGUAGCGGUGAAAUGCGUAGAGAUUAGGAAGAACACCAGUGGCGAAGGCGACUCUCUGGACUGUAACUGACGCUGAGGCUCGAAAGCGUGGGGAGCAAAC